GCUGGCACAUAGUGAGUACUCAGAAUGCUAGCUUAUUACUAUUGUUGUAUCAACUCAUUGGAAAGCCAACUAAAUCUGGACUGAGCCCUCCAGGCUCCGAACUGAUACUACUGGAAAGAGGCUCCGUGGAAUUAGGGAACAAGGGAUUCAGUUCAACCAGGCAAACAGUUAUGGAGCCUCUGACGCGCAGCACGGGGCAUGAAGAUAUGAAGACAAUAUGGUUCUUGCAUCAGGAGAAUCUACACUCCUAAAGAGAAGACAGACACACAAAGAGCAGCACACAGACCCAACAGCCAUGCCUGCAAUUAUGAUCCAAGUACAGAGGUAGCUGAGGACAGGGAGUAUUAAGACGUCCUAAAGGGGGAUAUUGGAAGAGGGUUUUGACAGAUGAAUAGGAGUUUGACACGGUGAACGAGGUGGGGAGAAAUCCCAGGCAAGGCGAUAGCAAGUGAAAAGGAGCAGCUGUCUGAAAGAACACAGUCUGUGUGGAUCUACAAAACGUCAGGCUUUCUGCAAGAGUGUGGGCUUAUGGUAAGAAAUUGUAGGUAGAGAGGUAAUCGGAAUGUCACAAUAAGGAGUUUGGACAUCCUGCCAACAACAGCAAGGCUACGUGUCAGCUCCCCCCGCCCCGCGCAAUGCCCCCGGGUGGGGCUGCUUCCUCACUUGUCAGGUUCACCAGCGUUUUUGUGGCUAAAACAGGUCAUCCUGCCACGCAUCACACUUUAAUUGGACAUUUUCUGUACGUCAGAGAGACUGACAUUCACCGACAUGGCUUCAAGAAUAAGACUCCCUGCCCUGAAAAAGCUCAAAGUCGAGUGGGGAAGACACGUGAUCACAAUGCAACCUGAGAGAUCCUAAAAUCCAGCCAAAUCCAUCAGAGGUGAAACCCCGCCCUUCCCAGGAUAACCAAACAGUGUGAAAAUUUGGGCUGCCAUGUGCUUCUCUCCAUAACUUGUUGGGGAAUACAAGUAUAGACAGCCUUUGCAAUCUGGUUCCUGAACACUGACAGAUUCUCCAAGCUUCGAUGUUCUCAAGCAACGGUGGUGGUAACAGCUGAAAUGUUCCAGGUAGAAGCUUCUCUCUCAGACUGGAUGCUGGAGUGAGGAUGGAUGAAAACCCCAGAGAGCCCAUGGCAAACAUGUAUUUCGAGUGAAAAACUUAGCUUGAAAGCCACUGAGACUUGAGGGCUUGCUUGUUACACAGCACGGCCUAGCAUAUGCUAACUGCUGUUGUACCUUCAUAAAUAUCUCACCUGGAUGAACGAGAGUUUCCACCUAGAUCUCUCAACUUGCAGACUGUCUCCCAAACCUGGAAAAUAGGACUCAGAUUUCUUUGGUGCAGUCAUAUCUUUCUCUCUCCUCUAACUCAAGCAGCAGCAAACUUUUUUUUAUAAAGGGCCAGAUAGUAAUUAUUUUAGGUUUUGCAAGCCAUACGGUCUCUGCCACAGAUAUUCAACUGUGCUGUUGCAGUGUGAAAGCAGCCACAGACAAUAACUAAACAAAUGAGUGUGGCCAGGUGCCAGCAGGUUCUAUUUAUGGACACUGAAAUUUGAAUUGCAUAUCGUUUUCAUGUGUCACGAAAUCUUCUUCUUCAGAUUUUCUUCAGCACUUAAACAUAUGAAAACCACCCACAGCUAAUGAAUGACUCAUUCAGAAGCACACAGCAAGCCGGAUUGGGCCCUCAGACUACAAUAUGUUGACCCCUGAUCUAACUGAAAACUCCUGAGCCCUGAGCAUGGCAUUGACAGCUCUUCACAAUCCUGCCCCAAUGACUUUGUCUGUUCACCUGCCCUCCCAUCUACACACACACACACACACACACACACACACACACACACACACAGGAAGCUUCAAUCUUCUUAGACCUGCCAUCAUUCUCUGAAUCCCCCUUGUUCUUAUAUGCCUCAGGGCCUUUGCACAUGCUGAUCCUUCAGCUAUGAAUGCCCUUUCUCUCCUUCCAUACCAAGUAAGUUCUCAUGAAUCUAUUCAGGCUGAAUUCAAAUGUCACAUUCUUCAUAAAACUUUCCCAAUGCCAGAGGCUAACUUAGUUGCUCUCUUUGUGUUCCUAUAAAACUCAAUUGUGCCCUUACUAUAAAAUUCAUGAACUAAUAUUCUGAAGUAGAGUUUCUCAUCCAUGACACUACUGGAUUUGGGGGCCAAAUACUUGUUGUGGGGGGCUAUCCCAUACACCCCAUAAGACGUUCAGCGGUAUCCCAGGCCUCUACCCACCAGACGCGAGUAGCACACCCUCCCCAUGUGACAGCCAAAACUGUCUCCAGAUAUCGCCAACUUCCCUCCUGCCCUCCCCAUGCUCAUUGAGAACCACCCCCCUAAAUAUUUACUUGGGCAUUAAACUUGCAGCCCCUUGAGGACAAAGUCAAGAUACUCUUCUUUACGGUUGUAAGCACCAAGCACACCGGCUGGCGCACAACAGCAGAACCUCAGCAAAUAUUUGCUGAAUGGAAAAAAUGACUAAGACAUUGAAAAUCAGUGACUCGGGAGCGUCGAGCCGACUAAUUCUUAAAAAGAUGUGAUUCCCGUCAUUCUGCUGUGUUUCUUUUUUCUUUACCUUUGCAGAGAGGCCGCUUUUAU